rnacentral:lncRNA from 1 species
UAAGACCAAGCUAGGAGCAUCUAAGAUCAAGCUAGGAGCGUCUAAGACCAAGCCAAGAGCGUCUAGAACAAGAAGACUUGGAUCAAGCUAUGAAUGGAAAAAGGCCUAAUAGCACAUAUUCCGUGAAGGCCCAUCAAGUGUAGUUUAGCUUUAAAUGAGGUGUAAAUAGCAUAACCAUGUGGACAAUUGUUUAAUUUUCUGCACAUUAGAAUUAAGGAAGCAUUAACCUUGAUUAGCUAAAGGUUUCUAGAAGCCUUUACUAAUAAAGGACCAUGUGCACCCAUGUGCCA